rnacentral:rRNA from 1 species
AUGAACGCUAGCGGCAGGCUUAACACAUGCAAGUCGAGGGGCAGCAUAAUGAAGUAGCAAUACGGAAUUGAUGGCGACCGGCGCACGGGUGCGUAACGCGUAUGCAACCUACCCAUAACAGGGGGAUAACACUGAGAAAUUGGUACUAAUACCCCAUAAUACUUUGGAAGGCAUCUUUUGGAGUUGAAAGUUCAGGCGGUUAUGGAUGGGCAUGCGUUGUAUUAGCUAGAUGGUGGGGUAAUGGCUCACCAUGGCUACGAUACAUAGGGGGACUGAGAGGUUAACCCCCCACACUGGUACUGAGACACGGACCAGACUCCUACGGGAGGCAGCAGUGAGGAAUAUUGGUCAAUGGACGCAAGUCUGAACCAGCCAUGCCGCGUGCAGGAAGACGGCUCUAUGAGUUGUAAACUGCUUCUGUACAAGGGUAAACCCUGGGACGUGUCCCAGGCUGAAAGUACUGUACGAAUAAGGAUCGGCUAACUCCGUG